CCUACGGGGGGCAGCAGUGGGGAAUAUUGGACAAUGGGGGGAACCCUGAUCCAGCGACGCCGCGUGAGUGAAGAAGUAUUUCGGUAUGUAAAGCUCUAUCAGCAGGGAAGAAAGAAAUGACGGUACCUGACUAAGAAGCCCCGGCUAACUACGGGCCAGCAGCCGCGGUAAUACGGAGGGGGCAGGAGUUAACCGGAUUUACUGGGGGUAAAGGGAGCGUAGACGGUUACGCAAGUCUGGAGGGAAAGGCGGGGGCCCAACCCCCGGACUGCUUUGGAAACUGUAUAACUGGAGUGCAGGAGAGGUAAGUGGAAUUCCUAGUGUAGCGGUGAAAUGCGUAGAUAUUAGGAGGAACACCAGUGGCGAAGGCGGCUUACUGGACUGUAACUGACGUUGAGGCUCGAAAGCGUGGGUAGCAAACAGGAUUAGAUACCCUAGUAGUC
rnacentral:rRNA from 1 species